UCAGUGGAAGCAAGCGCGAGUGCAAACACGUGAUCACGCCACGCCCGAACCGCCAGACAACUGGUUACGUAGUAGUCAGGUCACGUGCGCUCGAGACACGGCACUGCCUGAUCGAUAUGUCUGCUCCGAGUCAAAGUUACCUCACCGUCCUAAAGUACUGAUAAGUGCUUUAAUAGAGAUACAUUAUCUGUUUGAAACAUCAGAAGUCCACUGAAGCCAUUCCCGUACGCUGGAAUUAUUCUAUUAUUCCCCGGAGGACGAGUUCGUGUCACAUGGUUUGUAAGCUGAUUAAGCCCUCGAAAUACUGAUGCCAAUUCAUGUGUGAUUAAUCGAAUUCUAAGAGGAGAAAGACAACGUCAAGUUACACAGACGGACUAAAGUAGUAUUGUACGAGUUGAUGAAUUAUUGUCUAAAUAAUUGAAAUUCGAUCUGCCCAAAUGUAGUUUUCUUCUUUGACUUUUCUCCCACAAAUAUAGCUGAAUGAGCAAUAAUUAAUUA